AUGAUCUCUACAUCCCUACUGCUGCUGCUGCUGGCAGCCGUACACUGUGUUCACAGUGUUGAGCUGAUCCAGACCGGAUCCACAGUAUUAACUCCUGGUCAGUCACUGACUCUGACCUGUAAAGUGUCUGGAUAUUCAUUAACUGAUAGCAGCUAUUGUACAGACUGGAUACGACAACCUGCAGGAAAAACUCUGGAAUGGAUCGGAGGUAUAUGUGGUGAUGGUAACACUUACUACAGUGAGAAACUGAAAAGCAGGUUUCAGGUUUCCUUAGACACGUCCAGCAGCACAGUGACAUUAACAGGACAGAACAUGCAGACUGAAGACACAGCUGUGUAUUACUGCGCUCGGCGUGUAUCUGCAGGUGACUGGUUUGAGUGCCCAGGAUUCUGCUGUUUAUUAAAAAUCUCAGAUGUGGUCAAAGAGAAAAGUGUAUUCAAUGUAGAGGCCAUUUUCACAAGAUCUGCAGGUGGCGCUACAGCUUAA